AACGAACGCUGGCGGCAUGCCUAACACAUGCAAGUCGAACGAGACCUUCGGGUCUAGUGGCGCACGGGUGCGUAACGCGUGGGAACCUGCCCUUAGGUUCGGAAUAACUCCCCGAAAGGGGUGCUAAUACCGGAUAAUGUCUUCGGGCCAAAGAUUUAUCGCCUUUGGAUGGGCCCGCGUUGGAUUAGCUAGUUGGUAGGGUAAAAGCCUACCAAGGCGACGAUCCAUAGCUGGUCUGAGAGGAUGAUCAGCCACACUGGGACUGAGACACGGCCCAGACUCCUACGGGAGGCAGCAGUGGGGAAUAUUGGACAAUGGGCGAAAGCCUGAUCCAGCAAUGCCGCGUGAGGGAUGAAGGCCUUAGGGUUGUAAAGCUCUUUUACCCGGGAUGAUAAUGACAGUACCGGGAGAAUAAGCUCCGGCUAACUCCGUG
rnacentral:rRNA from 1 species